rnacentral:lncRNA from 1 species
CAAUAUGUAGAUGCCAGUUGCUUCGUAACAGCUUCACUCCCGGUGCCUCCAAUUCCCAUGACAUAAAUUUGUAGUUUUUUUAAUUUGGCAGGGAAAUCAAAUCACCGCGUAUAAGAUGGAAGAUCGGGAUAAAAAAUGCUACAGCUUUCGUCUCAAUUCAUACUUAGCCUUCUGACAACUAAGAUUUUAAACGAUAAUUGCGUAUAUUGUCAAUAUAUAUAGGC